rnacentral:rRNA from 1 species
UGCCCCUACGGGGCGCAGCAGUAAGGGAUAUUGGUCAAUGGGGGAAACCCUGAACCAGCAACGCCGCGUGAGGGAAGACGGUUUUCGGAUUGUAAACCUCUGUCCUCUGUGAAGAUGAUGACGGUAGCAGAGGAGGAAGCUCCGGCUAACUACGUGCCAGCAGCCGCGGUAAUACGUAGGGAGCGAGCGUUGUCCGGAUUUACUGGGUGUAAAGGGCGUGCAGCCGGGAAGACAAGUCAGAUGUGAAAUCCCGCGGCUCAACCGCGGAACUGCAUUUGAAACUGUUUUUCUUGAGUACCGGAGAG